rnacentral:rRNA from 1 species
UACGUAGGUGGCGAGCGUUGUCCGGAUUUACUGGGCGUAAAGAGCGCGCAGGCGGUCGUUCAAGUCGCGUGUGAAAGCCCCCGGCUCAACUGGGGAGGGUCACGCGACACUGAUCGACUCGAAGGCAGGAGAGGGUAGUGGAAUUCCCGGUGUAGUGGUGAAAUGCGUAGAUAUCGGGAGGAACACCAGUGGCGAAGGCGACUACCUGGCCUGUUCUUGACGCUGAGGCGCGAAAGCUAGGGGAGCAAACGGG